ACGAGCGUUCGUGUAUGUAAAUUAGUGAAUCUGGUUAAAGUCAGUUCAAGACUAUAAGUUAGUUUAACAUGUUUUGUGACUAACGUGUUCUUUUGCUUAGAUUAAAAAAUGCUCGAUAUUUUCGAUUGCGACCUCAAUUUGAGCAAGAU
rnacentral:rRNA from 1 species